rnacentral:rRNA from 1 species
AACGCGAAGAACCUUACCUGGUCUUGACAUCCACGGAAGUUUUCAGAGAUGAGAAUGUGCCUUCGGGAACCGUGAGACAGGUGCUGCAUGGCUGUCGUCAGCUCGUGUUGUGAAAUGUUGGGUUAAGUCCCGCAACGAGCGCAACCCUUAUCCUUUGUUGCCAGCGGUCCGGCCGGGAACUCAAAGGAGACUGCCAGUGAUAAACUGGAGGAAGGUGGGGAUGACGUCAAGUCAUCAUGGCCCUUACGACCAGGGCUACACACGUGCUACAAUGGCGCAUACAAAGAGAAGCGACCUCGCGAGAGCAAGCGGACCUCAUAAAGUGCGUCGUAGUCCGGAUUGGAGUCUGCAACUCGACUCCAUGAAGUCGGAAUCGCUAGUAAUCGUGGAUCAGAAUGCCACGGUGAAUACGUUCCCGGGCCUUGUACACACCGCCCGUCACACCAUGGGAGUGGGUUGCAAAAGAAGUAGGUAGCUUAACCUUCGGGAGGGCGCUUACCACUUUGUGAUUCAUGACUGGGGUGAAGUCGUAACAAGGUAACCGUAGGGGAACCUGCGGUUGGAUCAC